UGUCAACAUAUUCGGGAGACAAAGAAGC
rnacentral:piRNA from 2 species